ACUUGUAUAUGACUGAGCAAGAGUGGGGAAAAGACCUUAGGGCUUAAAAAAAAACUCCACCUAUUUUGCCUCACACACAUGAGGACUCCUGCUGAAGUUAGGAGCGCUGAUCUUUGGACCAGGAAGCUUUGGCAGCCAAAGAAAUGGCAGAAUGCUGGAGGAACACUUAUAAGAAAGAAACACACACUCAUAACUAUAAGCAGAUCUAUCAUCCACAGAUGACUUAUUUUCAGGUGGUCUCAGUAGCAUCACUCCAUCUGAGCCAUGUCUGCACUCGCAGCAGUGUUACUGCUGGUGUUGCAUGAAGAGUCCUACAACAGAAUGCACCUAUUUACAAAGGAACAUGGCAGGCACAGACGUCAUGACUGCGGCAGAAGCCUCACCUGUACGUAUACAGAAUGGUCCAGGUUGGUUUUACAUCCAAUAUACAAUCAACCCAUGACACAGAACAAGUUGGGUGUGUUUAACUGUACCUGACACACAACUAACCUGUUGAUUUUUUGGGUGGGGUGGGGUAGGGACAAGUGAAGUCACAGCCUUGAAUUAUAUUUGUGAUUUACUGUCCUCAAUGCCUUUUCAGGCCACCUUUACAUCACUCUGGCAUGAAUAAUAAAAUAGAAACACUCUAAUAACAUUUAAUCCCCCAAGUUGUCCAGGGAAAGGUAAAAAAGGAAUGCAACAGAGAGAGAGAGAGAGAGAGAGAGAGAGAGAGAGAGAGAGUUUGGUUUGGCACAGGAACAUAAUGCAAAUAAGAGGAUGGUAUAUGGCAAGACUAGCUUACUUUAUAAAGUAAAGGCUCCUAUCUAAAAACCAACAACUUGUCCAGCAUGUUGCAUUCCAGCAGAAUUUCACACUGAUCAGAUACCAAGAUGCUGGGAUUUUCAAGUGAAUUACAGAUGUAGCAAUCACAGAUUGCAGUAAAAAGUGUCUUUUGCAGGUGGAACAGGCCAAGGGGGACAGCGAGUGAGAGCAGAAGAAGACACAAGAGAGGGCGACGACUGUUUUGAAAACACUAUAAAGUACUCCUUGGUGCCAGUUCUUCCAGGUCUGUCAUUCAUCCUCCUUGGGAAAGGUGUCUUGGAGGAAAGGAGGAGGAAAUGCCAAAUGGUGCUUCUGCGGACUAAAUCAAGCCCAUGAUGUUUCCCCUAAUAAGGUUUCUCUCCAGCCGCAUUUGUUCCGACAUACCU